AAGUUUCGUAGAGGUUGCGUUACUCAAGAGUAGACUAUAGGAUAUGUAAGGAUAGCUGACUAUAGUGGAAAGGGAAUAACGCCGAAAGAAUUUUAUAUCCUUAACUAUAAGAUUCUUGGGGAUACGGUUAAGAGCCGUAUGACUGUCAUCAAUAUAUUUGAUGGGGCGCUACAUGUACA
rnacentral:ncRNA from 2 species